CCUCCUACCGCGUACAUGGGGCCUUCCAACACAGCAACACCUACAAGCGAACAGCAAAGAGGGAAGGACUUGAGAUGUUUUCAAACUCAUAUUUUAAUUAAAAUUAGUAAAAGGUCCGACACGAGGUUCGCUGUUCACAGAGGCUGAGAAGACACACAGAAGUGGGAGGACAUGCAGGGGAGUUUAGCACCAGGGAAGCCAGAGAAACAAGAGUUUACUGCAGCCAGUUCCGCUGACAACGUCAAAUGCACCGAGAGGAACAAAUAAAAAGCUAUGUCACUGAACUAGAAAAUGGCUUUAAGUCAGGAAAUGGCUGAACACAAAAGAAGGGGAAGGAACCAAAAGACUCGGAUCACCAACUGUUCACCUCUUAACUCUCAAGGUGUGCGCUGUGACAUCAAGACGCUGUGGGGAACUUAGAAAGGACCCUUGGGGAAAGGGUCUGGAAUUCGAACUCAAGCAUUAUAAGGCAGGAAAUUCCUAACUGGCAACAUGGCCCUGCACCUGUAAUUCUCCAGAUGUCAGAGAUCAGAAUUCCACGUCUGAGGGUGAGAGAAGAGGAGAAGGUGGUGACUAUUCCCAAGCAUGAGACGCUAGAAUACAUGAGUGCAUGUGAUCUCAAUUCUUCAGAAUGCCUACGCUGACAAUAACCAACUUAGAGAUUAUAAUAAUCAAAGCCUGCAGAAACUUUAAAGGGGAAAAAGUAACCAAAUGCCACGUGAGAAGUCAUCUGUGCCUUUACUAUCUAGAAACGCUUUAGAGUGAGGAUGAGUCAGACGGCUUUAACUUGUUACCUGGCAUGCCAGACUGACCGAGAAAAAUCCAUCUUAAAGAUAAGAACGAUUCCAGGAGAGGAGGAAUAAAAUCAUGAAUUUAUCAAUGCUUUUCCUUUA